rnacentral:rRNA from 1 species
UCGGGAAUUUUGGGCAAUGGGCGAAAGCCUGACCCAGCAACGCCGCGUGGGGGAUGAAGGUCUUCGGAUCGUAAACCCCUGUCGAAUGGGACGAAAGACUCGCGAGUGAAUACUUCGCGAGAGUGACGGUACCGUUAAAGGAAGCCACGGCUAACUCUGUGCCAGCAGCCGCGGUAAUACAGAGGUGGCAAGCGUUGUUCGGAAUUACUGGGCGUAAAGGGCGCGUAGGCGGCCCUCUAAGUCAGACGUGAAAUCCCCCGGCUUAACCUGGGAACUGCGUCUGAUACUGGAGGGCUUGAGUAUGGGAGAGGGAUGUAGAAUUCCAGGUGUAGCGGUGAAAUGCGUAGAUAUCUGGAGGAAUACCGGUGGCGAAGGCGGCAUCCUGGACCAUUACUGACGCUGAGGCGCGAAAGCUAGGGGAGCAAACGGGAUUAGAUACCCCAGUAGUCCCUGAGCGGGCUGGCAAGGCGCAU